rnacentral:rRNA from 1 species
UACGUAGGGUGCAAGCGUUAAUCGGAAUUACUGGGCGUAAAGCGUGCGCAGGCGGUUAUGUAAGACAGGUGUGAAAGCCCCGGGCUUAACCUGGGAAUGGCCGUUGAAACUGGCGAACUGGAGUGUGGCAGAGGGGGGUGGAAUUCCGCGUGUAGCAGUGAAAUGCGUAGAGAUGCGGAGGAACACCGAUGGCGAAGGCAGCCCCCUGGGCUGACACUGACGCUCAGGCACGAAAGCGUGGGGAGCAAACAGG